rnacentral:misc_RNA from 1 species
GUUUAUUUCUACAAGAGCAUCAAAAGUUGAUCGAUUUUUGUUUUAUAAAAAGAAAAGAAAUCACUCGUUCUCAUAGCUUAUAUGUAUUAAUUUAUUAUAUAUUUUUUUAAAUUCUAUGUUGGAUUUGUUUUAGUGGGGAACAUUAAGCUAUUUGUUUAAUCAAUUAAAGUGUUGCCAACUGUAUCAUUUUUUAAUUGUUUUUCAGAAUAUUUUUAUUCUCAGGCCAGCAUAGGACUCUGACUGAGAUCUGUUGGAUUUCGUUUCUGUAGCUCUUAAAUA